AUUUAAAUAGCUUAAUAAUUAGAGCAUAGCACUGAAGAUGCUAGGGUGAUUUUUUAAAAUCUUUGAAUA
rnacentral:tRNA from 1 species